rnacentral:lncRNA from 1 species
ACCAAGGAUGAAAACCCCAUUAAAUCAGAGGGCCUGUGUGGGUGUGAAGGAAACACCUGUCCCUCUUUUUAAUGGGAUUAUUAUGUCUGGGAAGUAAAGCAGUUGCUAUAAUACAGUGGUAGCUGUGAGGAACAGAAGCUCAUUGAAGGAACACAGGAGCGGCUCCAUGUUGAGUUACAGGAGCGACAUCCAAGCAGAAACCCCAAGGCAUCGUGGCGCACGCCUGUGAUCCCAGCAAGCAGGAGGCUGAGGCAGGAGGAUUACCACGAGUUCGAGGCCAGCCUGAGCUAUAUAGCAAGACCCUGUCUCCAAAACAAAACAAAAUAAACAAACAAAAACUUGCUCUUUCCACC